rnacentral:rRNA from 1 species
GUCGAGAAUCUUUUGCAAUGCCCGAAAGGGUGACAAUGCGACGCCGCGUGUGCGAUGAAGGUCUUCGGAUUGUAAAGCACUGUCAGUCGGGAGGAAGGUGACGCUAUCUAACAGAUGGAGUCGCUUGACAGUACCGGCAGAGGAAGCCACGGCUAACUCCGUGCCAGCAGCCGCGGUAAUACGGAGGUGGCAAGCGUUACUCGGAUUGAUUGGGUGUAAAGGGCGUGUAGGUGGUGAAUUAAGUCGAUUGUGAAAUCCCUUGGCUUAACCAAGGAACUGCAUUCGAAACUGAUUUGCUUGAGUGAUAGAGAGGUAAGCGGAAUUCCCGGUGUAACAGUGAAAUGUGUAGAUAUCGGGAGGAACACCAGUGGCGAAGGCGGCUUACUGGCUAUCAACUGACACUGAAACGCGAGAGCUAGGGGAGCAAACAGGAUUAGAUACCCCGGUAGUCC